AAGUCGUAACAAGGUUUCCGUAGGUGAACCUGCGGAAGGAUCAUUAUUAUUGGAGUUCUGCGCAGCGAUGCGCGGGAUGACUGCUUACACCCUUGUGUAUUUAUGCGAGAUUGCUUUGGCUAGCGAUAGCCGGAGACUACAACCAAACUAAUUUUUUCUAAGGCUGUCACACAACAACAUAAUAUUUAAAACUUUCAACAACGGAUCUCUUGGUUCUC
rnacentral:misc_RNA from 1 species